rnacentral:tRNA from 1 species
GAGGUCGUAGCUCAACUGGCAGAGUACCGGCCUUUUAAGCCGAGGGGUGCGGGAUCGUUGCCCGCCGACCUCA